GCCUGGGUGGCUCAGUAGGUUAAGCGGCUGACUUCGGCUCAGCUCAUGAUCUCGUGGUCCGUGGGUUCGAGCCCCGCGUCGGGCU
rnacentral:tRNA from 1 species